rnacentral:rRNA from 1 species
GUUGCUGGCCCUUUCGGGGGCAUGUGCACACCCAUCAUCCUCAUCUCUCCACCUGUGCACCUCUUGUAGACUUGGAUUGACUUUCCGAGGCAACUCGGUCGGGAGGACUUGCUGGCAUUGGCUGGCUUUCCUUGCAUUUCCAAGUCUAUGUUUUUUCAUAUACCCCAUUGAAUGUAACAGAAUGUAACAUAUUGGGCCUUUGUGCCUAUAAAAACUUAUACAACUUUCAGCAACGGAUCUCUUGGCUCUCGCAUCGAUGAAGAACGCAGCGAAAUGCGAUAAGUAAUGUGAAUUGCAGAAUUCAGUGAAUCAUCGAAUCUUUGAACGCACCUUGCGCUCCUUGGUAUUCCGAGGAGCAUGCCUGUUUGAGUGUCAUUAAAUUCUCAACUAUUAUCAGCUUUUGCUGAUGAUGGCUUGGAUAUGGGGGUUUAUUUUGCUGGCUUCACAGAAUGUCAGCUCCCCUUAAAUGCAUUAGCCGGUGCCCCGCGUGGACUGUCUAUUGGUGUGAUAAUUAUCUACGCCGUGGACAUCUACAAUCAUAUGGGUUU